rnacentral:rRNA from 1 species
AGGCGUAACACAAUGCAAGUCGAGGGGCGAGCGGGUAACGUAGACCUUGCUACUUACUGUCCGGCGACCGGCGGACGGGUGCGUAACGCGUAUGUAACCUACCUUUGUACAGGGGGAUAACGAAUCGAGAAAUUGGUACCUAAUACCCCACAACAUCACCGGAGGCAUCUUCGGUGGUUGAAAACUCAGGUGGUCAGAGAUGGACAUGCGUUGUAUUAGCUAGUUGGUGAGGUAACGGCUCACCAAGGCGACGAUACAUAGGGGGACUGAGAGGUCAACCCCCCACAUUGGUACUGAGACACGGACCAAACUCCUACGGGAGGCAGCAGUGAGGAAUAUUGGUCAAUGGACGCAAGUCUGAACCAGCCAUGCCGCGUGCAGGAAGACGGCUCUAUGAGUUGUAAACUGCUUUUGUACGAGGGUAAAUCCCGAUACGUGUAUCGGGUUGAAAGCAUCGUACGAAUAAGGAUCGGCUAACUCCGUG